GUGCAGGCGCAGCUACACAUGCAGUCGAGCGGAUGAGGAGAGCUUGCUCUCUGAUUCAGCGGCGGACGGGUGAGUAAUGCCUAGGAAUCUGCCUGGUAGUGGGGGACAACGUUUCGAAAGGAACGCUAAUACCGCAUACGUCCUACGGGAGAAAGUGGGGGAUCUUCGGACCUCACGCUAUCAGAUGAGCCUAGGUCGGAUUAGCUAGUUGGUGGGGUAACGGCUCACCAAGGCGACGAUCCGUAACUGGUCUGAGAGGAUGAUCAGUCACACUGGAACUGAGACACGGUCCAGACUCCUACGGGAGGCAGCAGUGGGGAAUAUUGGACAAUGGGCGAAAGCCUGAUCCAGCCAUGCCGCGUGUGUGAAGAAGGCCCUCGGGUCGUAAAGCACUUUAAGCUGGGAGGAAGGGUUGUAACCUAAUACGUUGCAGCUUUGACGUUACCAGCAGAAUAAGCACCGGCUAACUCUGUGCCAGCAGCCGCGGUAAUACAGAGGGUGCAAGCGUUAAUCGGAAUUACUGGGCGUAAAGCGCGCGUAGGUGGCUUGGUAAGUUGAAUGUGAAAUCCCCGGGCUCAACCUGGGAACUGCAUCCAAAACUGCCUGGCUAGAGUACGGUAGAGGGUGGUGGAAUUUCCUGUGUAGCGGUGAAAUGCGUAGAUAUAGGAAGGAACACCAGUGGCGAAGGCGACCACCUGGA
rnacentral:rRNA from 1 species